UACGUAGGUGGCAAGCGUUUGUCCGGAUUUACUGGGCGUAAAGAGCGCGCAGGCGGUCGUUCAAGUCGCGUGUGAAAGCCCCCGGCUCAACUGGGGAGGGUCACUCGAUACUGUUCGACUCGAAGGCGGGAGAGGGAAGCGGAAUUCCCGGUGUAGUGGUGAAAUGCGUAGAUAUCGGGAGGAACACCGGUGGCGAAGGCGGGUCUCUGGGCCGUAACUGACGCUGAGGAGCGAAAGCGUGGGGAGCGAACAGG
rnacentral:rRNA from 1 species